UCUGCAUCAACAACUUCUGGAAGCAGAGAGUCCCUGAACCUUGGAGCAAGGAGAGAUGUAACAUACAGCCUCGGAGGGGUUGGAGGAGAGGUCCAUGGAGAUCACCUGGCUCAGCCUUCUCGUUUUCCAGAUGAUUUUUUUUAGUCCAAAGAGACUAAAUGACUUGACUAAGGCCACACAGCAUGUCAGCGGGCCAGCUAGGACUCCACCCACAGCCCCUGAGUCUGGGGAUCCCUGUGCUCUUGGCUCUGAGCAAGGCUGCCUCACUUCAUUUUAGUUUAGUCUGUGUGACUUGAGCACAAGUUCUGCACACAAAACUGUGCAAGGCCACUAAUAGCACUCACAGAGCAGUGCUAUCCCUUCCUUCCUUUGAAAUGGUGGAGGUGGAGACAGUACAUACAAGAGUUACUCAAGACAAGGAUGAGGGUGCAGGGAGGAAGCCGAGCCCUUCCAUGCCACCUCUGAGACAG
rnacentral:lncRNA from 1 species